UUCAGAUGAGGAUAAUUGUGGACUUGGUCUAUUAGCUUGUUGUCUAUGCUGUUGUUCCCUCUGUCCCCCUACUGUUUAUGUGCAUUCUGCAUCUUACAACCAUAUAGCACUGAUUUUUGUGGACAUACACACUCAACAUUUAAAAACCAACACAGGGCAUGCAGGGCAGCCAUCAUGGGCGCCUGAGCACUUAGUUGAAUCAAGUACAUCAUUGCCUGCGUGGUGGAAAUUUCCAAAGCAUCUUUAAUCUUGAUUAAAUAUGAAAACCGGUGUGUGGCCCCUCAGGAGAAUUAUAGCUGCAAAAGUCGUAAAUUUAGUUAACUGCUGUCACUAUCACUCUACAAUGCUUUGGGGUUGUGUUCACCUUGCAUGCAUUGAAGCUCAGCAGUGCAUCAAAAAUUGUAUGUGUCGGUAUCCCAUUACUGCAAAAGUUUUUGUUUGUAUUGCACAGCUUGAUGGUUUGUAUUUGCACUGACAAAGUAAAUAACAGGGUUGAAUGUUUAUGGAAGGCAUGGCUCACAUCAGGGGGAGGACAAUAAACUGACAGCUAAAGAUGACCGGGGUCAUCCUUACACAACCCGACACUGUUGUGUUGAAAAACGCAAAACUGACCUUUAUACCCUUUAACAUUUUCCUGUUUGCCCCAACAACUCUGUAGCGGUAACGUUAAUAUUUAAUACAAUUCUAUCUUUUGAAUCUUUUUCUUCUCAAAGCUUGUACUUGUGUGGGCCUGAUGUAAACCCUGUGAAACUCCUCACUGUGUUCCCAUAUAAAUGCAUCCAGCAUGGGAGAGCACACCCAGACACUAGGCCAGAGAUAAAUCCUACUCAUUUCCUGUGUUGACAGUCUGAGGCAGCUUCCUUGACUUGGUAAAAUUAACGGUCCAGAACGUUAUUUUCCCAUCCAAUAUGCUGCCAUCAAUCAUCCUGUGUGCCUUCAUCACUUUCAAAAAUUAUGUGUCACUGUUUUCUACAAAGGCAGGGCAACAAAUUUAGUCAGCAGGCAAAGGAGUGAUGAUAAAACGCACAAGUUUGAGGCUAGAACGAGUGGGAAGACAAACUCUCUGCGUGACAAGUAUGAAUUUCUGCCCAUACAGGGAUGAAGAUGUACUGCACAGCAAUCAGCUCGGGGACCUAAGGAGGCUUUAAUGAGAGUUUCAGGAAGUUAGUGCAGGAUGAGUGCCGUUCAAAAAUAAGAUUACACAUAGCGAUUACCAGCCAGAGGUCACUGGUUUCCUCAACGCUCUGUGCUCAAUCAACAUCCUGAGUGUAGCACAGAAAGUUCUGUAACUAAACCAGAAAAAAAAGUUAAGAGUUGACCUCACAAAACUGUUAAGGUACUUGUAAAGAGGGUGCUGUUCAUACAUCAUCUGGUAUGUGAAGGUGUCACAGGCAAUUCAUUAAAAAUCUGGAAAACAGAAUCCUGGCAAAAGUCUCCAAAAGCUGUUCACAUUUUCUAAAGGAUGGCAUUUAACUCAAGAGUGACUUUAUUUUGGUUUUAGGCAAACAUGGCAGACACCAAAACACACAAUUUGAAGAUUAUUCCCUCAUUUUAAUGCCAAAUGAACAAAAGGUUCCUGUUUUGAAUAUUACAGCUGCUCUCUAAGAUUAAGGACAUGCAGUUUAGGAAAUGAAAGUUUGAAUUAAAUCUGAUUCCUGUCCGGGGCUUGAAUAGAUGGAGGAGAAGGUAUAUUAUAACUGCAGGCUCUGACUACACCUGCGGGAAGUAUGGCGCCUCGUUGCAGAGCAGGAAAUUGCAAGCACCGGGGAACAGAAGUGAAUGUCAUCGAGGAGGCUGGUACGGUAAAAGAGCAUGUAAAGCGCAUCCUCAUUUCACUGCUAGGCUGAUGCUCUUUCACUCCCUGAUCACAGAACAGCAAGGGCUGAUGGGAGAGUGGAUGGGUGGGGGGAGAAUGUGAUUUGAGGGCAUCAAGUAGCGGAACUGACAGAGACGGAUUCACUGCGGCCCAAGCAUAGAAUUGCUUUUCCUUUCCCCUGGAACUGAGCUGGAAGUGCCUGCGGCUGCAAACAAUCUCUAAGCAGCAGGCUUCACAAAGCCCGAGAGCCCGAGCCGUGAAGGCUCUCAGGCAGGUGAGAAAACGCUGAACUAUUUAGAACAAAAAAAAAAAAAGGCGGCGAAGGUGGCGAGGUAUAAGUAAAAGCAAACUCAGGUACUCAGAAACUGUUGCGUCAACAAAAAGUCCUAAUUUUACUGUCUGUUAUGCUAUGAAUGCAUACAGAGUUUUAUGUAUUUGUCUUUGAACUCUGAUACACACAUACUGCUGGAUUUGGAGGUGUGUAAGAGUCAAAGACAGUGUAUGAGUGUGUGUGCAUGUUGUUAUCAAGUGCAGAGCUAAUUACACAGGUGUUACAGAGCUCCAGGAUGGAAACUAGAAAGACGAGGGAGAGUUUUGCUCUCUUACUGUGACUAGAUGAUGAAAGCGUACUAUUCAAUUUACACCUUGACUUGAGCGAGCACCUUUGUGGAUUUUUGUAGGGUUGAAAUCGAACUAACUCCUGCCUCAGACAAAUAAAAAGCCAAGGUUUAAAACCACUUUUAUUUGACCUCAAUUUUCCUGUUAUAUCUUUCAAACAGUCACUUCUGUGAACAUCCUUGUCAAGAUGGUAAAUUAACAUUUGAGUGUUGCACUCCACACCCCAAUGAGCGACGAGAGAGUGAUGUUAAAAUCAAAAACACCAUUAGAUGAGUAACAGAAAUAUAAAUUAAUCUAAUUUAAAAUCAAUGUGACAAAUGGUUCCUUUUAAUGGCCCCUCUGUUGGAUUUAACAUUUAAUGUGAAGAAAUCAGACAGAAUUCCCUGCUUUUUCACUCCUAAUGAUGCAUGUCUAUGAGGAGAUGAAACGUUUCCAAACUAUGAUCUCUGUCCUUACACCACCCUCUCUUCAUACUUUUCUUUCUUUUCAUCACUCAGUCACUCACUUACUCACCCUCCCUUCCCACCAAGAUACACUAUCUGCCAUCCAGUCCAUGUUGUCAACAUGUCUGACAAGCUAAAAAAGCAGGUUGCACUAACCAAUCAGCAUAUCGAGCCCAGGCUGGUCUAAAACCACUGAACAUGUCGGAGGCUUUCAGCCUGGAAACUGACAGAAGCUGAACCCAGUUUGCCCCCAGUGGGACUGUGGACAGGCAGUCAUGUGUGAGGAAAACAGACAGACACACACAGUGAACAUUUUCCUGGGACUCGGACUCUGUUUUCCAACAUGUCCAGUGCGUGUGGCAGUUUAUGCGGUGGAAACUUCUCUUUUCUGUUGUGUGCAAUUAAUCAGCAUGUGCACAGCCCUUACUGCGUGGUACAGCGAGCUAACAAGUGCAAAAGACAAUCCAUGAUGAGAUAAAAACCAAGCAAAAACUAGUGAUGAAUAAAAACAAUGGUAUGAGCUUUCAAUGUCAUGUAAUCUAGACUUAUCACAGUCAGACAGGUGUCAUCCCUCAACUGACCUACAGACUACACUUGCUGUGACAUUUAUAACAUUAGUAAAGAAAAGAAAAAAAGUCAUUCUCUACCUAAAAGUCAGGGUUGGGUAUUUACUGGUUCAUGAAUCAAUGCAGUAUUUAAAAAUCUCAAACAAAAUAAACUCAGUCCAUUGGAAAUCACGAUUAAGUGCUCUUUUCCACUCCAGAACAGUUUCAUUGAUGCCUCCAGUAACUGCUGUACUUUAUCAGCAUAGAUGAGCUAAAUACUUCUUAUUCAUUUCUCUAAGGGUUACAAAUAACAACAGCGCAGCAGUGAUACAAAAUAAAAGGACAGUCAGAGUAACACUUACUAAAGCAAGCGGGCCUCUUUUAUGGAUGCUUUAUUGGGCAGAGCGAGUUCAAAGGGCAACAAGCAAAAGCAUAAACCCGAACUGUUAGUGU